rnacentral:sRNA from 3 species
UCGUACCACUCUUGCACUGCGAUUCCCGCACGCCGCCCACGUCCUGACGACUGCUCGCUACGUUUUGAUAGCC